AGCUUUGCGCAGUGGCAGUAUCGUAGCCAAUGAGGUUAAUCCGAGGCGCGAUUAUUGCUAAUUGAGAAAAAGGGACACGACAGGGGUGCCCCCUAUCACCUCUGUUAUUUAUCUCUGUCCUGGAGGUGUUGUUGAAUUUGAUCAGGAAGGAUCA
rnacentral:snRNA from 1 species